rnacentral:rRNA from 1 species
AUAGCGUAUAUUAAAGUUGUUGCAGUUAAAAAGCUCGUAGUUGAAUUUCUGGCCGGCGCUGUUCACGGCUCUCGCAGUCGGUUCAGGAGCCUGGUCAUCCGUAUGGGAAGCUAGCACGUCCUUCAGUGGUCGGCUAGUGGAUCAUACACUUUACUUUGAAAAAAUUAGAGUGUUUCAGGCAGGCAAUUGCUUGGAUACUGCAGCAUGGAAUAAUGGAAUAGGACUUUGACCUAUUUGUUGGUUUCUUGAGGUCAAAGUAAUGAUUAAUAGGGACAGUUGGGGGCAUCCGUAUUUAAUUGUCAGAGGUGAAAUUCUUGGAUUUAUUAAAGACGAACUUAUG